GACGAACGCUGGCGGCGUGCUUAACACAUGCAAGUGGAGCGACGAACCAGGGCUUGCCCUGGGGCAGAGCCGCGAACGGGUGAGUAACACGUGGGUAACGUGCCCCGAUGAUCGGGACAACCCGGGGAAACCCGGGCUAAUACCGAAUGUGCUCCCCUCACACCAGUGAGGGAUGGAAAGGAAGCUUCGGCCUCCGCAUCGGGAUCGGCCCGCGGCCCAUUAGCUUGUUGGUGAGGUAACGGCUCACCAAGGCUGCGAUGGGUAGCUGGUCUGAGAGGACGAUCAGCCACACUGGGACUGAGACACGGCCCAGACUCCUACGGGAGGCAGCAGUGGGGAAUCUUGCGCAAUGCGCGAAAGCGUGACGCAGCAACGCCGCGUGGGGGAAGACGGCCU
rnacentral:rRNA from 1 species